GCAGUGCCCUACUUAAAAAGGUGCCAAUUGCUUAGACUACAUGUAAUCGGUGCCUUUCUAGGUAGAGCAACGCU
rfam:Pteropus alecto contig106322, whole genome shotgun sequence.